rnacentral:rRNA from 1 species
CGUAGGUGGCGAGCGUUGUCCGGAAUUAUUGGGCGUAAAGGGCGCGUAGGCGGCUCUUUAAGUCAGAUGUGAAAACCCAGGGCUUAACUCUGGGAGUGCAUUUGAAACUGAAGAGCUCGAGUGCAGGAGAGGUAAGUGGAAUUCCUAGUGUAGCGGUGAGAUGCGUAGAUAUUAGGAGGAACACCAGUGGCGAAGGCGACUUACUGGACUGUAACUGACGCUGAGGCGCGAAAGCGUGGGGAGCAAACAGGAUUAGAUACCCUGGUAGUCCACGCUGUAAACGAUGGAUACUAGGUGUGGGAGGUAUCGACCCCUUCCGUGCCGCAGUUAACGCAAUAAGUAUCCCGCCUGGGGAGUACGGCCGCAAGGUUG